UACAGAGGGGGCAAGCGUUAUUCGGAAUUAUUGGGCGUAAAGGGCGCGUAGGCGGCUUUUCAAGUGACGGGUGAAAUCCCACGGCUUAACCGAGGAACUGCCUGUCAGACUGGAAGGCUUGAGACCGGGAGAGGUGAGUGGAAUUCCCAGUGUAGCGGUGAAAUGCGUAGAUAUUGGGAGGAACACCAGUGGCGAAGGCGGCUCACUGGACCGGAACUGACGCUGAGGCGCGAAAGCGUGGGGAGCAAACAGG
rnacentral:rRNA from 1 species